GAAUAAUCCAGUUUAUGGCCGGACUCUAUCCAGUUAUUUUCUUGAAAUUGAACUACAGGAAUGGGCCUUAGAGUUGGGUUAGAAAUAGUAGGCUUACUACGGGCUUUGAGAGUCUUAUGCUGACCUAAGUCCUAAUGCCUAUCCGGCCCAUAAUUUGGGUCAUGAAAAAGUUGGUAUAAGAGUUUAGGCUCUAGAUUCAUGGAAAAGUGUGUUCCUG
rnacentral:misc_RNA from 1 species